CAUUUCGGCCCACAAGUGCUCGACUUCAUUUAAAACAGGCAGCAAUUAUUUGUCGAUUCGUUUUAUUAGACGAGUCUCUCUUUAAAAAGCACACUCGGCAGUGUUGCAAGUGAACGUCUCUUUGCUCGCGCUCAGACCAAAGGCAUUAACCUAAUUUCCAUCCUUUCUGUUACAAUUGACCGGAGAGUUGGAUGCUUCGCUUCCUUUCCAGAAUCAAACAGUCCUGAGGCAUUGUGUGUGUGUGUGUGUGUGGGUGUGUGUGUGUGUGUGUGUGUGUGUGUGUGUGUGUGUGUGUGUGUGUUUGAAAAGCUUGAGCGAUACAAGCAAAUGCGAGAACAUUAAUCGUCUUUCUCCUCAUGAUUAUCAUCAAUCAAUUCUCCUUUAUAAGUCCGUCUUUAUUCCUCUCGUACAUGCACAUACUAGUCAAUUGGGUAACAGCGGAUGGCAGAACAGGGCCAUGUGAUACGCACGCACCCCCCCCGCAUGGGGGGUGUGGGUCAUAUGAUGGUGGAAGGACACACAAAGGGAGAAUGUCAGAGCCACAAUCACGUGAGAGCUUCUAAUCUGCUUAGAUACACAGGUGGUUCGAGUGACUUGGUGCUUUUGCAGCAAAGCAAUGCACCUGCAAAAAAAAAAAAAAAAAUCACACGACUAUCAUUGUUGAAAUUAUUUCAAUAUUCCCGAUUGCGUAAAAGAAGGAUAUACACACGUAUGACGUUUUUGUGAAACGUUUUGUGACGACAAGGAGAAACAAGACUAUCUAUGGCUACUGUAUUUGGAUUCAUAGGGAUACGCCAACUAAAGGCCUUAUCCAACUUUAUGAUCUUGAAGCCGUUAUGUUUGGAAGAGUAACCUUCAAAGCGUCAGGAAAAAGAUGCACUUCAUCAUGUUCGAUGAUUUAAAUAAUAAGCUAAUGAUGGAUGGAUGGAUAAUAUGGACGGACAAAUAGCUACGGAUGGAUGGAUGGAUGGAAUAGACAAAGCGGCAGACUGAUGGACAGCAAUGGGGAGUUGUUUGUAUUUAGCGCAUGUUGGCCAUGCCAGCGUCAACGCGAUCAUCUGAACCAAACAGCCCUUUCGUGUCUAAAAUUUACACCCAUUUCUCGCCCUUACAUCACAGACAUUCCCACAUUGGUCGUGCCAGUGGGGGGGAAAAGACCUUCCGCAUGCCACCCUGAAGUGACGCUUGCUUUCACACGUCAGGCCGCGACGCGAGUUCGUGGGACUGGGUGCGUGCGCAGUGACGUUCACGGACCAAUCACAGAAACCAGCCUCCCCCCACCUCUUAAAAAAAGGUUGGCGACCGCUCUUCUAAAACACCUGCCAACAACCUGCGUUGACCUCAUGUCACCUGAACA